AUUGAACGCUGGCGGCAGGCCUAACACAUGCAAGUCGAGCGAGCGGCGGACGGGUGAGUAAUGUAUGGGGACUGCCCGAUAGAGGGGGAUAACUACUGGAAACGGUGGCUAAUACCGCAUACUAUCGGAUAACCCAUAUGGGAUUAGCUAGUAGGUGGGGUAACGGCUAACCUAGGCGACGAACUCUAGCUGGUCUGAGAGGAUGACCAGUCACACUGGGACUUAGACGCAGACCAGACUCCUACGGAGGCAGCAGUGAGGAAUAUUGCACAAUGGGCGCAAGCCUGAUGCAGCCAUGCCGCGUGUAUGAAGAAGGCCUUCGGGUUGUAAAGUACUUUCAGCGGGGAGGCGUUACCCGCAGAAGAAGCACCGGCUAACUCCGUGCCAGCAGCCGCGGUAAUUC
rnacentral:rRNA from 1 species